rnacentral:rRNA from 1 species
AGAGUUUGAUCAUGGCUCAGAUUGAACGCUGGCGGCAUGCCUAACACAUGCAAGUCGAACGGCAGCACAGCAGAGCUUGCUCUGUGGGUGGCGAGUGGCGGACGGGUGAGUAAUGCAUCGGGACCUACCCAGACGUGGGGGAUAACGUAGGGAAACUUACGCUAAUACCGCAUACGUCCUACGGGAGAAAGCAGGGGACCUUCGGGCCUUGCGCGGUUGGACGGACCGAUGUGCGAUUAGCUAGUUGGUAGGGUAAUGGCCUACCAAGGCGACGAUCGCUAGCUGGUCUGAGAGGAUGAUCAGCCACACUGGGACUGAGACACGGCCCAGACUCCUACGGGAGGCAGCAGUGGGGAAUAUUGGACAAUGGGCGCAAGCCUGAUCCAGCAAUGCCGCGUGUGUGAAGAAGGCCCUCGGGUUGUAAAGCACUUUUAUCAGGAACGAAAUACCACGGGUUAAUACCCUAUGGGGCUGACGGUACCUGAGGAAUAAGCACCGGCUAACUUCGUGCCAGCAGCCGCGGUAAUAC